UGGCGACCGGCGCACGGGUGAGUAACACGUAUGCAACCUGCCCGUCUCAGGGGGAUAAUCGUCGGAAACGGCGUCUAAUACCCCGUAUGAAGCUGGACGGCAUCGUCUGGUUUUGAAAGAAUAUCGGAGACGGAUGGGCAUGCGGCGCAUUAGCUAGUUGGCGGGGUAACGGCCCACCAAGGCGACGAUGCGUAGGGGUUCUGAGAGGAAGGUCCCCCACACUGGUACUGAGACACGGACCAGACUCCUACGGGAGGCAGCAG
rnacentral:rRNA from 1 species